UGGGGAAUAUUGGACAAUGGGCGCAAGCCUGAUCCAGCAAUGCCGCGUGUGUGAAGAAGGCCUGCGGGUUGUAAAGCACUUUAAGCAGGGAAGAAUGGGCUAAAGUUAAUACCUUUGGUCAGUGACGUUACCUGCAGAAUAAGCACCGGCUAACUCCGUGCCAGCAGCCGCGGUAAUACGGAGGGUGCGAGCGUUAAUCGGAAUUACUGGGCGUAAAGCGCGCGUAGGCGGUUGGCUAAGUUUGCUGUGAAAGCCCCGGGCUUAACCUGGGAACUGCAGUGAAUACUGGUCGGCUAGAGUAUGGUAGAGGGUAGUGGAAUUUCCGGUGUAGCAGUGAAAUGCGUAGAGAUCGGAAGGAACACCAGUGGCGAAGGCGGCUAUCUGGACCAAUACUGACGCU
rnacentral:rRNA from 1 species